UACGGAGGGAGCUGGCGUUGUUCGGAAUUACUGAGCGUAAAGCGCACGUAGGCGGCGAUUCAAGUCAGAGGUGAAAGCCCGGGGCUCAACCCCGGAACUGCCUUUGAAACUAGAUUGCUAGAAUCCUGGAGAGGUGAGUGGAAUUCCGAGUGUAGAGGUGAAAUUCGUAGAUAUUCGGAAGAACACCAGUGGCGAAGGCGACUCACUGGACAGGUAUUGACGCUGAGGUGCGAAAGCGUGGGGAGCAAACAGG
rnacentral:rRNA from 1 species